ensembl:lncRNA
AUCAAAAACAAACAAGAAAACACAAACAUGCAAAAAUAACUGAUUUAUUACUUAUUUGGUAAGCAUUACUAGGCAAAAUAACCGUUUUGAAAAUCGGACCACAGGUAACGCAUAUCUUGAUUUAGGUCAAAACUUAAUAUCUCAUUAAAACGAAAAAAUGAGCAGUUUCACUUGGGCACCCCUUCUAAUAUGUUUUAGUAGGAUAUAAGCUAAUUGUGUGCCAAAUGUCAUGCUUUUAUCACUCUUGUCACGAUCGCGUUGUUAAGCCACCUGACUAUAAAGGAUCCUGGUAGCUAGAGGGGAAAAUCUUUCUGUUGUGUCCUGCCAUCUAGUGGACAAAAAAAUAUUGCUGUAUGAGUUAAUCAGCUAACAACAAAUUGAUACAAUUGUCUUGCUAAAUGUAACUACUGAAAGAGUCGCCUUAAUCAUUAUCAAAAAUAUUGCUCCCCCCUAAGAAUUUUUUUCAGGAGCCUCCACUGCUUCACAUGUGGAAGCAAAGCUGAUCUAUGAAAUAAUUUACGGUAGGUAUGGUACGGUACGGUAGGCAUGGGCCAUUGAUUCUUGCUGUUAACGCAGUUCCUGAUGCAAUUGUAGACGAGUUAAAACUAGCAGAGGAUGGUUUCGAUCCAUCGACCUCUGGGUUAUGGGCCCAGCACGCUUCCGCUGCGCCACUCUGCUGCAUAUUUCAGUUCCAGUGAAGGUCGUAAAUAUUUUUGGCUGACAGGAUUAUGAAGAUUCUGAUGUCUAACAUUCUGUGUCGAUCAAGGGCCAGAUACCAAUGAAUCAUAAUAUCAAACGUUAUUAUACGGCUCUUCAGAAUGUUCCAAAAAGUUCCGUUGAUUUGAAUGGGCCACCCCAACGUCCACAGCUCGGUAAUUUAUUUAUAUUCAACCGCUGCGACAAAUGACCGCUGUCAUUGGCAACGGGUUUUGUGCUUCAAAUUCUGAUUCAUAUCAUUUCGCAAGUAGUCCGGUCAUUUAACGGUACGCAAAGUCAUUGUAACUUGAAGUGAGCAAGUCGUGGGUUGCUACGCAACACUUGAAACUUUAAAGUUCUAUUUCAUCAUCAUCAUUGUUUGUUCAGGGAGAAUUGACUGAGCACGGGGCUCUUUAUUUGCACGAAGAAUUUUUUUUUUCUCAGCGGAAAUCACGAAACGGCAACAAAAUCAUUAACUUCGAGCUGCGUCGUUUACUUUUUUUCCGUAUACUGCACGUCUUAACUGUCUCAAAAGAGAAAACUUUCAGAGAAGAAAAAAGGCGACCACGAAGGGACUCGAACCCUCAAUCUUCUGAUUCGAAGUCAGACGCCUUAUCCAUUAGGCCACGCGGUCAACACGGUAUCUGACGUCGUGUAAAUCCAUCUCACUGGCAACAUUAAGUUACUCUUCGAAGCAUCAGAGCACAUUUCGGGGUCAGCCCUAUCUAUGUUCCCACAUUUCUAAGGAUUUUUUUUUUCACUGACAAUUUUGCAAAUUAGGCCCUAUGUUCCCACAUACCUAUGUUCCCAGAUUUAUUUUGAAAAAUGAGUCCCGAUGUUCCCACAGCCCUAUGUUCUAGGGUUAAGGUUAAGGUUAGAGUUGGGAAGCUAGCUAGCUCCUUCAAAUCGCCAGCUACGGAAUGGUGAACCCUUAACUACCAGGCAGGGGUAGAAAUGUGGGAACUGUAGGAACAUAGGGCCUAAUUUUGUAAUGAAUAUUAGAAAUGUGGGAACACAGAGCUGUGGGAACAUAAGACCUAAUUUUGAAAAAGCUCUUAGAAAUGUGGGAACAUAGGGCUGUGGGAACAUAGGGCUAUGUGAACAUUGGGCUGUGUGAACAUUGGGCUGUGGGAACAUAGGCACGCUCCCCACAUUUCAAUGAUUGCAAUGAGUGAUGCAAGAUAUCAUUUCCGUUUUCACAGAAGAAAAGUAGCAUAAGUCAUUUAAAUCUGUCAUAUAAAUAUAAGUCAUAUAUGUAUUUCAACAGGCUAUUGUCCAUAAUAAAAGUAUGACAAAUAUUAAAACAACCAUUUUGUUGCCUCAGGGUGAGUUUGGUUGGCAUGGUUUCUAUGAUAUAUACUGUAGGCACACUAUAGACUACUGCAUUAGACACACAGGAGUCAGUAAAGAUUUACAAAGCAAAAUUAAUGAAUUAGAGCUUAAGGUUAAAGGUAUGCUAGUCAGCACCUGUUUUGAUUAAAACUGUCAAACGCCAAGCUUGAACCAUCUUGAUGAUACUCAAAAAAUGCCUUUGAUUGCCAUGGAUUCUAGGUCCUAAUCCAUUGUUUGUGAAUCCCACUGAGUAGGACUACUUCAUGUCUUAAAGCAAGGCUCUCUAAUGCACCUACAACCUCUGGCUGAAACAGAUCCUUGGAUUCGUACAUGGAUUUAUUGAAGUCUGGGUGGGUUAUUAGUCUGUCAGCUGACAAUAAAAGACUUGUAACUUAUAACUCUACAGGCUCAGUGGGUGUGAGCCUCUGCAGCCGUGCGAUGAUGGUGUCCUGUGCUCUCCAGCCUCAGUGUUUGUCGGCUAGCCUCUGCAGCAGUGCGAUGAUGGUGUCCUGUUUGGAGGAGAUGAGCUCUAGCGCCGUGGCCAUCCUACCCACCGCCUCCGCUACGCGAUUGGCUGUCCUCUCCCUGCGUCGCUCCCGCGCCUCCUGCCUGCAUUGGCGCUGCUCGUCCAGCAGGGCGCGCUGCUCCUGGGCACUCAGGUACCCCCGCAGCAUGGUGCCACGCCGCUCCGCCUGCCCCUGAGGCUGGCUCAGAAAUGUGGGCACUCCCAUGGAGGGCGCGCGGCGAGACUUUCGGCGGGAUGAGGGCACAAAGGUCAUUUUCGGUCGGGGUGGUGAUAAGGUUGAAGAAUCCGAAAUACUCAAUGGGGUGUUUAGAGGAGAGGGGCAUAGAGGCGGGGUUGGGGUGAGGGUGGGCGGAGGUGGUGUGGCCCUUUGCGGGGUUAGGGUGGGCACCUGAGUUGCAGAGGCGAUUAUGUUGCUAGAGAAGAGGCAGGAAGGCACAGCGGUGGAGAUGCCCGCAGGCGGGCGCACAUCACACAGCGCUGCUGCCUGUGCCGUCGUGGCCAACCCCAGCAGUGUGGCAGAGGCCGAGCUGCCCUGAGCGAUCUCUGUCUUCCCCAGCACCGCAUCCAUCACCUGCUGGGUACCAGGGAUGGAGAGAGAGAAAGACACAGAUUAAGAUGGAUCUGGUUAUUAUGGACAAUAAUACUGUUUUUCUCGAUUGAUUACACACUAAAACUGGAACACAAUGACCACAACCUGUAACUCAUGUGCCAACUCCCUAAACCAAUUCUGAUAAACUAUAAGCACAAUUAUCUGCUUUCUCCACAGAUUUCAAUUGUUAGCCACACUUUCUUCAAAACACUAAACACCAUCCUCACUACUUUGCACACUUCAUCAAUGCCAAAACCUCCUUGUUUUCAGACAGAACACACUGCUAUUCAAAUGGCAAAACUUCCAUUUCCAAGGCUGUUGUGCAAUUUGAAAUCAAACCUUUAGCAAUAUGAUGGCCACAGGUGAGCUCCUGGUUUGGAGAACAAUUGAUGGCAACAUUGAAGUGAGAGGUGAUCAGAAAGGCAGAGGAGUGAGAGUAAGAGGAGAAGGAGGAAGAGGAUGAAGAGAAAGAACAAGAAGGAGAGCCAUUAUCUCUGAUGAGAUUCGGGCCACUGUGGUCAACCAUGUGGUCAACCAUGCAGGAGGCUGGCCAUAGGGUUCAACCAAACAUAAGCCCCUUCUCAGUUGCAUCCAUUCUCCGGACAUUCAGAAGAGGGAAUAGGUAAGAAACACUACUAUGACAGGAAAACACUAGUUUGAAUGCCUUAUCAGGAGCAUAGUAUUCUUGUAUUUAGCGUAUUUUACAUUGUACUGUAUUUGUAAAAUUACGUAAACAAAUACAAAGUGCAACCAUUGAUGACCAAGACAUAUUCCUAAACAUCAAUACAGUGAACCUAGCCACAGUGGAGUGGACUGUGUUCUAAGGCGGAACACCUUGAGAAUGAAGCAGGUGUACAGGGUGCCUUUUGUCAGAAACUCUGACAGUCAAACAAUUAUGCUAUGACUAUGUGCAAGUAAGUCAUAUAAAUUUCCACAACUGAUUGCGUCCUAUCAGCACUGACACAUUACUGUACUGUAUUGUAAUCCAAUCCAAUGUUAUUUUCAAGUGUUUCAACACUAUUUCUGAUACAACAUUGUCAAUAUUGUCUUGAGCUAGAACAGGAUGCAGUAGUUUUUUGUCCUUUUUUAUUUUACAUUUUUCUUUCUUUUUUUGUUGACUGUACUGGCCUAUAUCUUAUUGUUUGUUCUGUGCAAAUCAUUUACACAUUCAGUUGUGUUUGCUGUGACGUAUAGGCUACAGCACUUUUGGAAAAAAUAAAGAAAUAUUUGAGUUUUUACUGUAUAUUUGUGUGUUGUUUUAUAUUUGAGUAAAAACAUUAUACAGCUACAAUAUUUUACAACAGGAGAAAGCGUACAGUAACACUGGUCAUGAAAAGGCAUAAUGCUCCUGAUAAGGCCUUCAUACUGGUGUUUUCCCAUUUCAUAGUUGUGUUUUCCAUUGAGCACAUCAGUGUUCAAUCGAUGCUUAGAAUGUCUACUCAUAUAAUGGUCUGUGUUUGUCAUUUGAAAACAAAAUACCCUUUUGAAAGCAAGGUAGCAUUUUGCAGGAGAUAUAAAGGGUUUUGCAUUUUGUGUUAGUGGUUUAGGGAUAUGUGUUUAGAGUUUUGAGAAAACAAGGCAUGCUUUCAAAAAAUGUGUGUAAGCAAUCGAGAAAAACUGUAAACAUUUCAUACUGUUAUACUCUGUAAAGUGCCUUGAGGCAAUUUUAUUGUUUUGGUGCUAUUUAAAUCAAAUUGAAUUAAAUUGUGCUUCUGAUAGACUGAUUCUGACUAUGAUAUACUUAUGGUGCUUGUGAUAUACUGAUUGUGAUUUAUAUACACGGUUUUGGAUCUUGAUGUAUGCAGGUUCCUUCCAAAUCAUGAUGGUGUGACCUCACCUCGUAGUACUCCCACGAGGUCCUGGCCUGCCCGCGGCCCCUGCAUCGCUCCUUCACGCGCUUGUAGGUGACGAUGAGGUUGUUCCACUUGCGGCGGAUCCUCUCGACGGGCAGCGGGUAGCCGUGCCCCUCCAGCUCCUGCUGCACACUCUGGAAGAGGCGCGAGCGCUCCCGCUGCCCGUAGAGGUCCCAGCGCGCCGCCAUGGCCUCGAUCAGCAGCAUGAUGGCGUCGUGUGUGAACUCAGACGAGCUCGACACCGCUUCGCUGGGGCCUCGCACGCCCAUCGGACAGGCUACACCGGGGAUGACAUCUUGGGAGCCAGUAGCACCGUUGGUCAACGCUGCUAGUCACACACACACACACAAACAUAAACAGGGCAUAGUGUGAAAAAGUGUAAUCAAUUUCAAAUGCAUGUGCACACAAAUGUACAUAAAAUGGGAACACUUCAGGCACACAUACACACACACACAAACAUUAACAUGAAACACACACGCCAACACACAUAGGCCUAGGCCUACAAAACACCCAGGUGCACACAUACAUGGAAAUUAGGUCAGCAACUCACCUAAAGGGACUUUGCUGCUCUCUUUGGAGGUGAAGUCUGUUGACGAACAUAAUGGUUUGUUGAUGCUUAUCUAAUACUAAUUACUUUUUACAAGUCAUCGCUUUCGCCAACCCUCUUAAUAUCCUGACAACCAUGCACAUUUGUUUUAAUCAUUCAUGUAUUGAAUACUAUAUUUUUUUUAUUUAAUAUUAAACAUUUGAGCUAAUGUGUAAAUAAUUAUCCUACUGCGUCGAUUACUCGUCCGGCAAUAAAUGAAACAUUUCAUUAACUUCUGUAUUUGAUGAACUGGAGAUCGAAUUACGUUUGUCUAAAAUGUUUACAUUGAUGGUGUUAAAUAGAGUGGCAAACUCACACAGCAUGAUCGGGGUAGGAUCUGCCGCUUGGUCGCUCUGUGGAUCCGUACCUUCAGAACAGUAGGCGCCCGAGAGCGCCACUACACAGUCGUCUGCAAAGGGCUCGGCCUUCGGCUUCACGUCCAUGGCUGCGCUGAAUUUGCUUGCUGGCAAGAUGCCUCACUGUCUGUUUUAACGAGGUUACCUGAAUGUAACUCACUCCUUCAUGCUACGAUACUAACCAAACUUACAUUUACAGCUACCCAUAGAGUCACACGCACAGUUUUACAACUUCAUUCGGUAAAAAGUGUGAUCUGUACUUUUAACUAUUAAAUUACCGCAUUAUAAGUACUUAUUCGUUUUCUAUGAAUUAUCAAACGUUGUUGUUGGUAGGCUACAAUAGCCAGGCUGAAAGAAUGAUGGCUGCGCUCUUGUUAAAGUCUGCGCAACUCUUCUGCGUGCUUCUGCAAGCUGAUUGGUUGGUUACCAUUACGCGGCACGCAGGACCUGCACCAACGCAGACGUCAGUGCCUGCCUGGUCUCUGGCAAAACAGUCAUGACACCAAAUGUUUCGGCGGAAUAUGUUAAAAGGAGCAAUAGGAGAGGUACACUUUGACAUGCCAGUUAUUAUGAGGACAAACUUAUUAUCUCACCAUUGACAUGUCUCAACAUAAAAUAUUAUUGUUAUUCAUCUUGUUAUUAUUGUUAUUAUUUGUCCAGUGUAAGAUUCAAAUACAGCCAAUCAGAUGUUCAUAUAGGGAUGAUUUCUGAGUAGUCUAUUCCAUAUGUUUGAUAGAGGUGUUUACAAACACUUAUUUGACCAAUCUGCAGAGAAGGUAAGGCACAGUGUGCCUCAAUCAUGGCUUUAGUGGAUGCAGAUUAAUUUUGGAUUCUGUCUUUG